rnacentral:rRNA from 1 species
CCCUUAGAUGUUCGGGGCCGCACGCGCGCUACACUGAAGGAAUCAGCACGUCUUUCUCCUUGUCCGAAAGGACUGGGUAACCCGCUGAACCUCCUUCGUGCUAGGGAUUGGGGCUUGUAAUUCUUCCCCAUGAACGAGGAAUUCCCAGUAAGCGCGAGUCAUAAGCUCGCGUUGAUUACGUCCCUGCCCUUUGUACACACCGCCCGUCGCUACUACCGAUUGGAUGGUUUAGUGAGAUCCCCGGAUUGGUCCCGGAGCGGCCUCUGGUCGUGCCGGAGUGCCGAAAAGAAUGUCGAACUUGAUCAUCUAGAGGAAGUAAAAGUCGUAACA